rnacentral:rRNA from 1 species
GACGAACGCUGGCGGCGUGCUUAACACAUGCAAGUCGAACGGUAAGGCCCUUCGGGGUACACGAGUGGCGAACGGGUGAGUAACACGUGGGUGAUCUGCCCUGCACUUCGGGAUAAGCCUGGGAAACUGGGUCUAAUACCGGAUAGGACCCUGGGAUACAUGUCCUGGGGGGGAAAGCUUUUGCGGUGUGGGAUGGGCCCGGGGCCUAUCAGUGUGUUGGUGGGCUGAUGGCCUACCAAGGCGACGACGGGUAGCCGGCCUGAGAGGGUGACCGGCCACACUGGGACUGAGAUACGGCCCAGACUCCUACGGGAGGCAGCAGUGGGGAAUAUUGCACAAUGGGCGCAAGCCUGAUGCAGCGACGCCGCGUGAGGGAUGACGGCCUUCGGGUUGUAAACCUCUUUCAGCACCGACGAAGCGCAAGUGACGGUAGGUGCAGAAGAAGGACCGGCCAACUACGUGCCAGCAGCCGCCGUAA